rnacentral:rRNA from 1 species
GACGAACGCUGGCGGCGUUCUUCACACAUGCAAGUCGAACGGAUUGGCGAACGGGUGAGUACCACGUGGGUGAUCUGCCUUUCACUUCGGGAUAAGCUUGGGCAACUGGGUCUAAUACCGGCUAGUGCAAAAUGAGCUCGCGGCCUAUCCGCUUGUUGGUGGGGUAAUGGCCUACCAAGGCGUCGACGGGUAGCCGGCCUGAGAGGGUGUACGGCAAAAUUGGGAAUGAGAUACGGCCCAGACUCAUACGGGAGGCAGCAGUGGGGAAUAUGGCACAAGGGGCGGAAGCCUGAUGCAGCGACGCCGCGUGGGGGAGGAAGGCCUUCGGGUUGUAAACUCCUUUCGAAAGGGACGCGGUACCUGUAUAAGAAGCACCGGCUAACGACGGGCCAGCAGCCGCGGUAAUUC